UUAACUUGUCUGAAAAUGAAAUAGACAUUCUAGCUAAAUUUCUUGGUCACGACAUUCGGGUACAUAGAGAAUUCUACAGAUAACCAGAUGGAACCAUGCAGGUUGCCAAAGUCAGCAAGCUGCUCAUGAUGAUGGAAAAUGGGCAAAUUACCAGAAAUUCUGUCAAUUCGCUAGACGAUAUUGAUGUGGACGACGAAUGUAUUGUAGAUGAACAAUAUUCUUCUGAAUUAUCAGAAAAUGAAAAUACUGAAGACCUUGAAACUCUGCUUCCCAGCACCAGUCAACCAAAAAUAACAGACAAAGAAAAGGGUACUUCAAAUACCAGGAGAACAAAACAAGCAGCCAAAAAGCAACGGAGUGAAGACGAAACCAGGAGCUGUUCACAGACACUUAGAUCGUUUUUUGAUAAUUGGUAAAUUACCAGGGAAAAAAUCAUUACUUGCAUGUAUUGAAAGUGAGAAUGACCUUCACAACAGAAGUUGGAAAAAUGUCAAAGACUUUUGCAUAAAUUUAAUUGAAACAAAAACGCGACGGGGACUUUUAACUUAAAAAAAUAUAACACAUAUAAUGCACGUUUAGGAGAAUACGUUAAAGGAUGAAGUUGCCACAUGUGUUUUGUGUGUUUUCUUGUUCUAUAUACUCUUUUCGAAAACGAUAUAUGUGUGCUUAUUGUAUUUGAAUGUUUUAUUAAUACGGUUCAGUCAAAAACGAUAUUUGUUCAUAAUCAUAUCGCCGAACAAAUUAGGAUUGGUAUAUAGUUCGGCCAAAGAGUGUUUCUUUGUACUUUCUAUUACGAGUUUCUACGAGUUACUCACUAUACAAGUUAUUUUUUACCCCAAACUUGGUGAAUAUGAAUGAAUAUAGCAAUUAUGAUAACAAAUCAAUCUAGAAGGCUAAACGUUCAGAGAAGGCACACAAAAAUUCAGUCGGAUAAAUGGAAACAAACAUUUUGUUCAAGCAUAACAAACAAACACUUUUAGAUAUGAUAAGAUAAAUGUAAAUAACAUAAAAAAAACUACUGCUAAACUACUGCUACAAUGUGAAGAAUACAAAUGAAUAUUUUGUCAAUUUUACAAAAUUUGUUUUGAAUGACAGGUGUCUGACUUGCAGUUGAGUACUUAAUAGUUAUUUUAAAGUAAAAAUUUACCAAUAUGUAAAUUAUUGCGUAAAUAUCGCACUAGAAUUGAUUAAAUAGUUGUUAAAUAUUACAAUAAUUUCCUACACAGACUUUUGUGCAUUUGUUUUGCGUGUAGAUAUUCACAUUAACUAUCAAUUCACAUAUUUGCUUUGUGUAUAUAAUUGGUAUGUUUAUUUUCAGAAUUGAGUCACACUGUUAUAAUUUCCCUGUUGGUACAUAUUAUUUUUAAGUUGGCACCAACAAGGGUCUAACAAUUGAUUCACAUGUGCUAUCCCCAGUAAGUAUAUAUACUAAAAUGUAAGUGAUGCAAAAUAAUAUUAAACUACGUGUUUGAUAAGUGUUUGCUUUGGUACAUAUUUAAUUAUUAGUGUUUUUAUAAAAUGAUAAUGCUGUCAAAAGCAGCGAUGAUUAUACGUGUAUAACAACAUUAAUUAUAACUUUUAUAUUGUUUUCAACAAAUAAUAUAUGGUUGACACAUCGGCAUAAAUUUUCAGUGCUUAAAAUACACUCUUUCUUUUAUAUUUUAUGCAAAAAUUAGGUACAUAAGUUGGUUUACAUAAAGGUAGUUUGAACAAAAUACGUGAAUUCAAAUCUUGAAAAAAGGUGUUUGGUUUGCAAGGGAAAACUAAGCGAUUGCCAGUGACUAUUUUCCUUAAAAUAUAAUCUGUUAUUUCGACAGGUAGAAUUUAAUGUAAGUUCAUUAUUAACGUUAACCCGUUUUUGGCAUUCUCUACUCAAACAAGUGCAUACAUAAUGUAUUUUUUUAAUACAGCACAUGUGUAAUGGUAUCACAGUUGUAGAAUUGGAAUUCAUAUAUUAUAACAAUAAAUACUGAUCAUUAUUCAGAUUGACCUACCGCCGUAGACUAAGUCACUGGCGCAUCAAAAUGCAUUGUUAUCAAGUCGUUUUGCUAGUUUACUAAACUAUUUUGUUUCUCAGGCCUCGCCACAUUCGUUGUGAAACGUUCAUGAUUGUUUAAAGUUACAGAUUUUAUUAUUUUUGAAAAUGCAAUAAAUGUAUUUAAGACAAUUUAAGUGAAGUGGAAGUUGCCCUGCGUGUGAAUGACUUUUCUGAUGUUUACCUGUUUCAGGGGAUUAAAUGCAUGAGUUAUUUUAUAAUGUCAGAGUAAGGACAAAGUAAAUUUACACUACUCAAUCUACAUGCUUAUGGGCAGUUCUACUUUUAGGAUAAAAAACUUCAUAGUACGUGAACAUCGUGAAUAUUUUUUUCUGAUGGAAAAAAGGAAUUAAACAAAUAAGCCGCCUCCCCCUCUCCUUCAUUCGGUUUGACAAAUAGCGUGGCCUAAAACAAAAACAUUAUUUUUUAGUUUUAAGAACGAAUUGUAUUCAUUUGUUGAUUAAUUCACCAUGAUUGAUAUGGUAUAAUGCAGCACUUGCAUGUUUGUAGUCGGCUUAUAGCUAAUAAAGUCAUAAAUGUAUUGUUUGAUUUGCGUUAUGUCUAGUAUGCUUAUAUUGAUGUGAAUAAUAUUUGAGUCAAUCA